UACGUAGGGUGCGAGCGUUAAUCGGAAUUACUGGGCGUAAAGUGUGCGCAGGCGGCCGCGCAAGUCGAGUGUGAAAGCCCCGGGCUCAACCUGGGAAUUGCGCUCGAGACUGGUCUGCUUGAGUUCGGGAGAGGAGCGUGGAAUUCCCAGUGUAGAGGUGAAAUUCGUAGAUAUUGGGAAGAACACCGGUGGCGAAGGCGGCGCUCUGGACCGAGACUGACGCUGAGGCGCGAAAGCGUGGGGAGCAAACAGG
rnacentral:rRNA from 1 species